UACAGAGGGGGCCAGCGUUAUUCGGAAUUAUUGGGCGUAAAGGGCGCGUAGGCGGCCAUGCGUGUCUUCCGUGAAAUCCCUCGGCUCAACCGAGGACGUGCGGAAGAAACUGCAAGGCUCGAGUCCGGAAGAGGAGAGUGGAAUUCCUGGUGUAGCGGUGAAAUGCGCAGAUAUCAGGAAGAACACCAAUGGCGAAGGCAGCUCUCUGGGACGGUACUGACGCUGAGACGCGAAAGCGUGGGGAGCGAACAGG
rnacentral:rRNA from 1 species